GCCUGGGUGGCUCAGUCGGUGAAGCAUCUGACUUCAGCUCAGGUCAUGAUCUCGCAGUUUGUGAGUUCGAGCCCCGUGUCAGGCU
rnacentral:tRNA from 1 species